GGACCCGAGUGAGGACUGUGAUCUUUGCCAUCCAGAUCCAAAGCUCAGAGGCCUUGGCCCGCUUGGGUGGGGGGUGGGGGGAUAACGUCAGCGUUGCUACUUGAGGUGACAACUGGGGGCCGGCCUUGAAGCGCUGCUUGCAAAACCAACACACAGAUUAGACUGAGGGUGAAAGCCUGUGUUCGCCCUGGUUAGAGGCACGGGUACAGGGGUUUGUAACCCGCUCUGCUGCUGACUGUGUGACCGAAGAAAGUCACCAAGUCCUCUGAGCCUCAGGUUCCCUGCCUGUAAAAUGGGAACAAUAAUGUGGAUGCUAAUUCUCCACAGUGCAAAACCUGCUCAAGACUCCCAGACCCUCAGCGGAGUUAGAGUGACAGGAACUGGCGCAGGACUCCGGGUUUACUGCCUUCCUCGCACUUCCGGGUGCCCUCCCUGGUUCCGCAGCAGGUCCCAGUCUGUGAGCUUCGAAGUGCAGUUGUGGGAGGAGCAGGGCCAUGUGGAGCAAAUUGGAUUCCGAGUCCCUGGAGCACUCGCGCCCGCCAGGGCUCGCCACUCAUCCCGCCCGCCCAGGCCAGGAGCGGUCUAUUUCCUUUUUUCUCUCCUUUUCGUUUUUUCUGGAUCUGUUUUUUUUU